UCUGCAACCAUUAAGAGGUUGGCAACAGAGAUAUUUUGACAAGGUCAGAGACAGCAUCAGGAGGCAUGCGGAAGGAAAGACUGAAGAUGAUGGUAGUGGGUGUCUGAAACCAGACUUGCUCCAUUACAUAGUUUCCCUAUUGGGAAAGUACUUUCUAUCUUUAUUAAUGUGAUGUGGGGCAGACGGUGAGAACAACGUGGGGACAGAGUGGCCCCUCAGGGUUUUAUGAGAGUCUGACUUUUCUUCAUCAUUCUGUGAGCAGACUGAACAAUGUGAACAUGAAGUAAUUGUUGCAUGGUGUUUGAUCAUCAAGGCCUGUUCCAGUUUAAGAAAAGCAAAACUGACAGAAAAUACAGGGUUUGGAAAAGGUCCAAAGACCAUCAAAAAUGAUGAAAUCAUUGAAGAAUGGAAAAUCUGAGGAUUUCUUAUGGGGAUUCCCUUGUGCUGUGAUGAGUCACUUGAUGAAUCUUUCAUUAUCAAUGUCCAUAUCUGCAUCUGAUGUCAAACAGUCAAGAGGAUCUGCUUCUGACUUGUCCUCCAGCAUGCUGACAACCACCUACCUAGUCCAACUGCACAGAAGAAAAAAAGACAUUCGCUUUUAAAUUAAACAUGUUAUCUCCAUUUAAUGUCUACUUUCAAGAUAAAAAUUAGUCUUGGAAAACAAGUCAAAUACCAUUCCAAUUGACUGAAUUAUGAUAUCAAAUAUGAAGUCUGUUCAGAUGAGAGACAGAGAACAUUUCACACAGACCAAGUCUACUUUCCAACCACCCCUGUGCCACAGAAAAAGUGACAGGAGUGUUGAUGAUAUAUUGCCAACCUCUCUGCUGUUAGAAUGGCAUCUCAAUUCAUAGAGUCUAUUCUAUGCAAGCCAGCAGAGCUAUCAUCAAACAUUCAUAUAAAAUCCAGCUAUUCAAAAGACUUUUGAAGUUCAAUGAUACCAAAAACAGAUCGGGAAAUAAAGGAUUCAAAUACAAUUCAGUUCCAGUUCAUUUUGUUUUUAAUGUCCAUGGUGACGAUACCAAAUUGCAUUUAAUCACUAAAGUUUUGUGCUGUUUUAGUUAUAUAUUUUAGGUGCUCCUAAAACAUUGAGUGUUUUUUCACCUUUGCCUUUCAAGCUUAUCUGCACUUGGGAAGGGAUCUGUCUUGUCCAAUAAAUUUUCAGGUUCAUCUUCAGUUGCUUGAGACAUGAACAAAAUGAUGUAAUGCAAAGCAAAUAUGAAAUGACUUCAGAAAUUGACACGAAUUCCCACAAUUGACACAAAGUGACAGGUCUUUUCAAAGGAAAACCCUAGGCUUGGGUUAUCUCCUUCAAAUCAGAGUUUCUGAUGGAGCAACACUGGCACAUGGAAAGGAAUUUCAAGACUAGGGAUGCUUUUGAGUAAAGAAACAGAAUAAUGUGGUGUACUUUAAUAAAUGGUCAUAGGAAUAGAUCCAUAUAAAUCACAGACUUCUUUAUUAAUUAAAAAUUUUAAUACAGAAAAUUAAUCUUCUUUUUGAAAAAAGGAGCAUACAUCUCAUAUGUGGGAAGUUGAUUCUAAAAUUCCUGAUUCAGUUUGGACUUGUCAAGCAGAAAGCCUUGUAUCGAAAUGGCCAUGAUCACAGGGGCCAUGCACUUUUGCCUCUUCAAUGCAGAAACAAUUGCUUUAGGUAGGCAUG